AGGAGCGGCGCCCGGCUCGCGAGCCGUCCUCGCGCUGGGGCCGGUGCUCGGUGGCUUCGGCAAGCGGCCGUGCCGCCCUGGGCACGGGAGGCGGGGGCCGCCGCGCCGGAACGGUUGGUCCUUACGGCGGUCUCCAUAAACGAACAGCACCAAGCAGGAAAAUAAGUUCCUUCACAGGGGGUGCUUUUUUAGAUAUGAGGUGUGAGGGGAGCUGUGCACGUAAAUCACCGUUCGCAGGCAUUCGAAGAGCGCCUUCAGCGGUCGUGUGACCAUCGCGCACUUUGAAAGCACGUGGGCUGCACAGCAGGUUCACCCCGAGGAAAACCCUCCCGGCAAGCCGCAAGUACUGCAAAACCGGGCUUCUCCGCUUGGAUGUUAUUGCCAUGGUAACCUGAAACUCCUUCGUACUUCGCAAAUUCUGCCCUCGGAGCCGCUUCAGCUUCCAGUGAAGACCACGCUCAACGCUUUGUGAGCACAGGAGCGUCCGGCAGCUGAAAGAUCGUACGGAGGAAGUUUUUGGAAGGCUGAAUAAUGGUUGGACCCUAGACCAAGCAUCUAAUUUAAUAAAACAAUCUCCCUUUGGA